GUUGCCCUGUUCUGUCAGAAAGGCUGUAAAACAAAUAAAAGGACACAUUUUUCAUAGUUUAUAAGGUGUUAGGCCACCCCCCAUGCUCGAGGAUCCAGCAUACUUUGCGGGCGCUUCCAAAGGUUAAGCUUCUGACGUGUCACGCCCCCAGAACUAGUCUUACUAGGAAACUUUUCCAGCGGCUCUUCUGCGGUAGUGACCUUUGGGAGCGCCCGCAAAGUACGCUGGAUCCUCGAGCAUGGCCACCCCACUCUACCACCCAAAAGUGGGUAAUCAAUUAUUGAAGAAUCGCUCCAGAAAAUCUUGUCUAAGACAAGGCAUAUGCACACAUUUCUAAGUAAGGGAUGCACACAUACCUGAAAAGAACUUUCUCUGACGGCUCGGAUCCAGCCUAAAAUGAUACAAAACAUUCAAUAGCUCACAACAUGUUUAAGGUUGAACAUGGAACGCUCUGCAAGCCUCCCAAUAACAAAUCAUUGUAUCAGUUUCCUGGUACUAAUAGCAUUAGGGAAUUGAGGGUAGACAGUAACAAUAAGUUUUACCAGGGCAAACUGGCCAUCUUGCCAACCUGGAAAGCUCAAAAACCGGGAGAUUGUACUUCCAAUACAAGAGCUGUAUAAGUAAAAAAUCAAUGUUUGAUGAAUUUUCCCGGGAGAUUAAAGUAAAUGUAUAUAGGAAGUUUCGAAGUUUUGAAGGGAGAUGAAUGCUGAGAACCGGGAGUCUUCCACGAAAACCGGGAGAGUUGACAGUUUAUUUCAGGAAGAUUUUCUACUUACUUCUCUAACAAUCAAGUCGAAUUAUCAACAAUUCAGUUAUCAACACUCGAAGUCGAAUUAUCAACAGUCGAAGUCGAACUAUCAACGGUCAAGUCGAACUAUCAACGGUCAAGUCGAACCAUCAACGGUCAAGUCGAACUAUCAACGGUCAAGUCAAACUAUCAACGGUCAGGUCGAACUUUCAACGGUCAGGUCGAACUAUCAACGGUCAAGUUGAACUAUCAACGGUCAAGUCGAACUAUCAACGGUCAAGUCGAACUAUCAACGGUCAAGUCGAACUAUCAGCGGUCAAGCCUUUGUAACUAUCAACGGUCAAGCCUAUGUAACUAUCAACGGUCAGGUCGAACUAUCAACGGUCAAGUCGAACUAUGAACGGUCAGGUCGAACUAUCAACAGUCAGGUCGAACUAUGAACGGUCAGGUCGAACUAUGAACGGUCAAGUCGAACUAUCAACGGUCAAGUCGAAUUAUUAACGGUCAAGUCGAAUUAUCAACAGUCAAGUCGAACUAUCAACGGUCAGGUCGAACUAUCAAUGGUCAAGUCGAACUAUCAACGGUCAAGUCGAACUAUCAACGGUCAAGUCGAACUAUCAACGGUCAAGACGAACUAUAAACGGUCAAGUCGAAUUAUCAACGGUUAAGUCGAAUUAUCAACAAGUCGAUAUAUCAACAUUAGCAAGUCGAUAUAUCAACAUUAGCAAGUCGAUCAUCAUCAUCAUCACCAUCACCAUCACCAUCACCACCACCAUGAUCAUCAUCAUCAUCAUCAUCAUCACCAUCAUCAAAGGAUAGUUUUUUGAUUGUCAUGCCAAGAACACUAGCUACCAAAAAGCAAAAAAGUGGACUUAAGCAAAGUGUGUAUCUAAUAAAUAUGCCAGUUGAUUUUGAUUGCCUUAUUUUGUUUUGGCUGGUGACUUCAUACAACUGAUCUUAAAAAGGUUGCAACAUAUGGAUAUUAGAGUAUAAACGUAUGUAUAUAUUGUAAUGACUCUUGGGUCAGGCGACAUUUUUAACGUUAGAAAUGUCUUUUUUUUGGUGGAACCUUUUCAAGGUCUCCGGCAUGUUCUAUAUACUGUAAGUUGCUACAUUAUAUCUAUGUUUCCUUGCUCAUAAUUUUAGUUGCUUAAAGAACACAUUUAGAUAUAUUGUCAUAUGCUCUUACCUAAAACGAUGUGUCUUGGCUUUCCUCCACGUUUAGACUAUAUAAAAAGCAUU